rnacentral:rRNA from 1 species
GAGUCACGACUUACCAACUGUCCAGGGUUUACCCUAACGAAUUUCACUAAAAAGUAAAAAGGCUUUUAUAAUCAAGAAGGACAACAAGACCCUAACGAACUUUAUUCCAUUUAGCUGGGGCAGCUAAAAAACAAAAACUUCUCAUCAAUCUUAACCUCGACCCGAAUAACAUCGACCAAAGACCUAAGUUACCGUAGGGAUAACAGCACAAUCGGGCCUUAAAGACCUUAUUAAACACCCGCCAUGUGACCUCGAUGUUGAAUUAAUAAAGCUACAUUAAGCAAAAAGAAUGCAAGCAGGUCUGUUCGACCUUUAAUAAAUUACAUGAUUUGAGUUCAGACCGGCGCAAGCCAGGUCAGUUUAUAUCCUCUUACAACCAGUGUUAGUACGAAAGGACCACACAGAAAUUAACA